rnacentral:rRNA from 1 species
GUGGGGAAUAUUGCGCAAUGGGCGGAAGCCUGACGCAGCGACGCCGCGUGGGGGAUGACGGCCUUCGGGUUGUAAACCUCUUUCAGCAGGGACGAAGCCGAAAGGUGACGGUACCUGCAGAAGAAGCACCGGCCAACUACGUGCCAGCAGCCGCGGUAAUACGUAGGGUGCAAGCGUUGUCCGGAAUUAUUGGGCGUAAAGAGCUCGUAGGCGGUUCGUCGCGUCGGCUGUGAAAACCUGAGGCUCAACCUCAGGCCUGCAGUCGAUACGGGCGGACUGGAGUUCGGCAGGGGAGACUGGAAUUCCUGGUGUAGCGGUGAAAUGCGCAGAUAUCAGGAGGAACACCGGUGGCGAAGGCGGGUCUCUGGGCCGAUACUGACGCUGAGGGGCGAAAGCGUGGGGAGCGAACAGGAUUAGAUACCCUGGUAGUCCACGCCGUAAACGUUGGGCGCUAGGUGUGGGGGCCAUUCCACGGUCUCCGUGCCGCAGCUAACGCAUUAAGCGCCCCGCCUGGGGAGUACGGCCGCAAGGC